UACGUAGGGUGCGAGCGUUGUCCGGAAUUAUUGGGCGUAAAGCGCACGUAGGCGGAUUGUUAAGUCGGGGGUGAAAUCCUGGAGCUCAACUCCAGAACUGCCUUCGAUACUGGCGAUCUCGAGUUCGGGAGAGGUGAGUGGAACUGCGAGUGUAGAGGUGAAAUUCGUAGAUAUUCGCAAGAACACCAGUGGCGAAGGCGGCUCACUGGCCCGAUACUGACGCUGAGGUGCGAAAGCGUGGGGAGCAAACAGG
rnacentral:rRNA from 1 species